rnacentral:rRNA from 1 species
UACGUAGGGGGCGAGCGUUUGUCCGGAUUCAUUGGGCGUAAAGCGCUUUAAGGCGGUUCGCUAAGUCGGGUGUGAAACCUCCAGGCUCAACCUGGAGACGCCACUCGAUACUGGCGUGACUAGAGUUCGGUAGGGGAUCACGGAAUUCCUGGUGUAGCGGUGGAAAUGACGCAGAUAUCAGGAGGAACACCGGUGGCGAAGGCGGUGAUCUGGGCCGACACUGACGCUGUAGAGCGAAAGCGUGGGGAGCGAACAGG